rnacentral:miRNA from 1 species
UAUCCAACCUUAUUUCCCACU